GAACAGAUGUGUAAGAUAAUC
rnacentral:misc_RNA from 1 species